rnacentral:tRNA from 1 species
AUUAAUUUAGUUUAAUAAAAAUGUAAAUAUGUGGAAUUUAAGAUAAGUAUUAAUUAAUA